rnacentral:rRNA from 1 species
UACGUAGGGUGCGAGCGUUGUCCGGAAUUAUUGGGCGUAAAGAGCUCGUAGGCGGUUUGUCACGUCUGCUGUGAAAUCCCGAGGCUCAACCUCGGGCCUGCAGUGGGUACGGGCAGACUGGAGUGCGGUAGGGGAGAAUGGAAUUCCUGGUGUAGCGGUGGAAUGCGCAGAUAUCAGGAGGAACACCGAUGGCGAAGGCAGUUCUCUGGGCCGUAACUGACGCUGAGGUGCGAAAGCGUGGGGAGCAAACAGG